rfam:Felis catus isolate Cinnamon breed Abyssinian chromosome A3, whole genome shotgun sequence.
GCCUGGGUGGCUCAGUCGGUUAAGCGUCCGACUUCGGCUCAGGUCAUGAUCUCACAGUUCGUGGGUUUGAGCCCCACGUCGGGCU